rnacentral:rRNA from 1 species
AACCUGGUUGAUCCUGCCAGUAGUCAUAUGCUUGUCUCAAAGACUAAGCCAUGCAUGUCUAAGUAUAAGUGUUAUACAGCGAAGCUGCGAAUGGCUCAUUAAAACAGUUAUAGUUUAUUUGACAAUCGAACUCUACAUGGAUAACCGUGGUAAUUCUAGAGCUAAUACAUGCUGGUGUGCCCGACUUUUGCGGAAGGGCGGUAUUUAUUAGAUAACAAGCCAAUAUUCCUCUGGUCUAUUGUGGUGACUCAUAAUAACUGGUCGAAUCGCAAGGCCUGUGGCCGCGAUAAGUCAUUCAAGUUUCUGCCCCAUCAGCUUUCGAUGGUAGUGUAUUGGACUACCAUGGCGUUUACGGGUAACGGAGGAUUAGGGUUCGAUUCCGGAGAGGGAGCCUGAGAAACGGCUACCACAUCUAAGGAAGGCAGCAGGCGCGUAAAUUACCCAAUCCUGACUCAGGGAGGUAGUGACAAGAAAU